rnacentral:rRNA from 2 species
GUACUUGGUGUUACUGCGAAGGGGGGACGGAGAAGGCUAUGUUGGCCGGGCGACGGUUGUCCCGGUUUAAGCGUGUAGGCUGGUUUUCCAGGCAAAUCCGGAAAAUCAAGGCUGAGGCGUGAUGACGAGGCACUACGGUGCUGAAGCAACAAAUGCCCUGCUUCCAGGAAAAGCCUCUAAGCAUCAGGUAACAUCAAAUCGUACCCCAAACCGACACAGGUGGUCAGGUAGAGAAUAC